GUAUUUGCUUUGACAAUACAUAUAUUAAAACUGGAACGAUAAGAAAAGAUUAGCAUGGUUUAUGCCUAAGGAUGACACGCAAAAUCAUAACUCAAAAUAAAUUAGC